rnacentral:rRNA from 1 species
GACAGAGGGUGCAAACGUUGCUCGGAAUCACUGGGCGUAAAGGGCGUGUAGGCGGGAAGGAAAGUCAGAUGUGAAAUCCCUGGGCUCAACCCAGGAACUGCAUUUGAAACUCCCUUUCUUGAGUGUCGGAGAGGAAAGCGGAAUUCCUGGUGUAGAGGUGAAAUUCGUAGAUAUCAGGAGGAACACCGGUGGCGAAGGCGGCUUUCUGGACGACAACUGACGCUGAGACGCGAAAGCUAGGGUAGCAAACGGG